rnacentral:lncRNA from 7 species
AAUUCUUUUAUUAGGCGCUGGAAGAGCGGGCGAAGUCUUUUGCUGACGGCUCAUGACUCACACGGUCGGUAGCUUUCCGGCUAUCGACUGCAGCAGGACGUGUGUGAGGCAUUUUACAAACCAGCACCGAGGCCCAAAGCCGUGAGUCACAGUGCUCAGCAAGCACCAGGCUCAGUCCCGCGUGUCUGCGUGUUUGCGCUCCCACUGUCAGAGAGCGGGGCUUUAUGUUCCUCACAUGUUAGAUCUGCAAUUUCGUGUGGAUUCCGACACUCCCUAACGACCCAUCCCACGGAGGUGUCUGAAAGCUCCUCGGAUGAGCUCCCAUCUCUCUCCGGCUCCGAAGUGACGCACCUACCCACGGUGUAGGGUGCAUCACUCGAGACAGAUUUACAGUUCAGCCCUCCCGGCAGACAGGAGGAGAGAUCUGUCUAGAAUGUCCUGACAUUCUGGCAGACACCUGGGCAUUGUGGCAGAUAACUCCGUUCAAUACACUGUUACCAGCCUCAGCCACCAAGAUCCAAUUAAUUCGAUGUUUGCCUCCAGUGAUCUGUGAAAAAACAUACGGGCAAGGGAACAAAGAGAGGAAAUAUUUACCACAGUGAUCUGAUAAUAUCUAGGAAAAUGUCAAAUACCCACAUUUAAAUUCAUUUCUUGAAAAUAAUACGAAGAGAACAGAAGGAACUUCGGUAUCUUUGGGAUGUGCAACUGCUCCCUUUUUUUUUUCUUUUUUUUUUCUUCCUUUUUUUUUUU